UCAUCGCCUUAUUCACCGGCCUUUGUGGCUUCAAGAAAAACGCUCGGCCAUUGGGAACGAUUGAGACGAUGUAUCAGUCAUCUCCUCGGGAGACCAAAGAAAGAGAACAAACAAAUAAUGACUUGCAGAUCACGAAAAGUGAUGACUUGUGGAACAAGGAAAGCGAUGAUCGAGAUACUAAUGCAUUUAAUGACGAUAGUAAUGAAGCGGACUCUGAGCUUCCGUUGCCUCCAGGAAGAAAAGGAACAAUACGUGGAACAUAUUCGUGUAACAACAUGGUGUUAAGAAGAUCCUUGUCU